AAUCUUGCGCAAUGGGCGAAAGCCUGACGCAGCCAUGCCGCGUGAAUGAUAAAGGUCUUAGGUUUGUAAAAAUCUUUCACCGGGGACGAUAAUGACGGUACCCGGAGAACAAGCCCCGGCUAACUUCGUGCCGUCACCCGAGGUAAUACGAAGGGGACUAGCGUUGCUCGGAAUUACUGGGCGUAAAGGGCGCGUAGGCGGAUCGUUAAGUCAGGGGUGAAAUCCCGGGGCACAACCUCGGAACUGCCCUUGAUACUGGCGAUCUUGAGUAUGAGAGAGGUAUGUGGAACUCCGAGUGUAGGGGUGAAAUUCGUAGAUAUUCGGAAGAACACCGGUGGCGAAGGCGACAUACUGGCUCAUUACUGACGCUGAGGCGCGAAAGCGUGGGGAGCAAAC
rnacentral:rRNA from 1 species